rnacentral:rRNA from 1 species
UACGUAGGGUGCAAGCGUUGUCCGGAAUUAUUGGGCGUAAAGGGCUCGUAGGCGGUCCAUCGCGUCGGGAGUGAAAAGCUGGGGCUUAACCCCCAGUCCUGCUUCCGAUACGGGUGGACUAGAGGUAGGUAGGGGAGAUCGGAAUUCCUGGUGUAGCGGUGAAAUGACGCAGAUAUCAGGAGGAACACCCGGUGGCGAAAGGCGGAUCUCUGGGCCUUACCCUGACG